rnacentral:lncRNA from 1 species
GAUUAAAUGAACUGUCCCCCCAGUUCUUGCUGUCGACAUCUUUGACAAGUUCAACUUCACGGGAGCCAGAGUCCCAUGGUUCGACGCCAUUCAUGAAGAAUUCCCCAGGGAGCUGGAGUCCUCCAUCUCCUUCCCAGCCAACUUCUUCAAACCACCUGAAGAAAAAGAAGGCCCCCUGGUAAGGCCAGCCAGCCGGAGGACCACCCCGCAGACCACACGCCCAGGGCCUGGCACCGAGGGGGAGGCCCCGAUCAGCAGGUGAAAGCGACACCCUGAUGACACUGGCUAGUUCACCUUCACUCUGGUCAUCGUUUACUGUACCCCGGGGCAGCUCCCGCCUGAGCCCUAUGACCCCAACCGCCGCAGCCUCUGGCUGCCUCACUGGCCCAUCAUUAAUACGUCGAUGGUGAGCGCACUGGUGUACAGCGAGGGGGCUCCACUUCCGAGACCCCUGGAGAGGCCCGUCCUGGUGGAGUUCACCCUGCUGGAGAUGGAGAAGCGAACCAAGCCUGUCUGUGUGUUCUGGAACCAUUCCCUGGCGUAAAUGUGAUGCCGGGAGUUCUGCAUCUUCAUGUGAGGGCUUUGCCAAGACACAGAGAACCCGCAGGGUUGUUGGCUCAGCGGCAGAUCGUCCCACGGGGACAGUCUCUUGUGGUCUGUGUCUCCCCCUUCAGCCCCCUGUGGGGCAGUGAGCCUCCUGCUCUGCUUCUGUGGGUGCAUCAGAGCCCCCCCAGAUGCCCACACGCAGACGCGCACAGGCCUGCACGUGGAAACACAGACAUGCGCACACGCAGGCCCACACACAGACGCACACAGAGCUGCACGUGGAGACACGUGCGCACACGCAGGCCCACACGCAGGCCCACACACAGGUGCACGCGGACCUGCACGUGGAGACACAGAUGUGUGCACAUGCAGGCCCACACACAGGUGAGCGUGGACCUGUGUGAACAGAUGCGCGCAGACCUGCACGUGGAGACACAGACAUGCAGGCGCACAAAGAGAUCCCUCAAGGCUGACACCCAGGAAGGGGCCUCUCACUUGUGGGACUCCCGAGAUGCAGUGGCCAACACGAGUGUAGUGCCCAGUUCACUGCUGGAUAAGACAGAGGCCUGUUCUGGUCACACAUGGGAGGCAGAACCCAGAGACUGGGCCCAGGAGCCCUUCUGCUGACAGUGGGAACUCCCAGCUACGUGUGGGGGUCCCCAUACCAGACAAAGGUCCCUGACCUUAGUCUUGCCCGAGAGGCCGACACAGCCCAGCUUUGGGGUCUGGCUUUACCCACAAGAGGCCACACCUUGCCACAGCACUGUUUAUCUGGCCUGUUUCAGAAGCACCGUCAGAGUGGCGAAGGCAGGAGGUGGUGCACGAGAGUCUACGUUCUAGCAUCCAUUCAAGUGAGGGAAAGGCGUUUCGUACUUAGAAAAAUGCAAAAUUAAUGAUUCUCACCCACACAUGAGACUGUGGAUUCACCCAUGUAUGAGAUAGUGGAUUCAGAGCCAUGCUGUGGCUCUCAUCUGCUGGGAGCCAGUAGUGUUUGUGCUUUGGUUUUGCUUUUUUAGCUACAUGGUUUAUGUGAGGUGCGGACUUACUUGAGUUGCUCUGUCUUUACAGGGAGCUUGCUUUUUCUCUGCUGGUUUGUUUUCACUUUUGCUGUCUCUGUUUAGAAGAAAACAUUAGAACUGGGGUGUGGUGGAAGGAUGGGAGCACAAUCUGGGAGGGGAAGACCUGCUCUCUCUCCACAUACCAGGAGGGAGUGGCAGGAAGGGGAGACACUGUGCCGGACUCAGGGAGUCAAGAGCGUGAGCACCCCCAGGCUUCAAUCUGCUGAACGUUGUGCAUCUGGGGGCGCCCGUGCAGCAGGAACACUCUCCCCAUCACAAUUCCUCUGGGCACAGUGGAGAGCCAUGAGUGGGGGCUGUCCUGGGGGCUGCGCUAUGGUGAGUGAGCCCACGCCAGGAGCCAGUUCAGCCCAGCCUCAUUCUUCUCCUGCUUCUUUGCUUUCCAAGUUCUAGUUCAUAAGCAACCAGCACAGUACCUGGAAUGUAAGAGGCGCUUGGCUUAUAAAAGAGAGAAGAAAGGAACCCCUUUCACCACGAGGGACGUCAGGCCCAGCUCUCUGUCCCGGGCAUUCAUCUUUUUUCCGGCAAUUAGCUUCAGCUCUAAUGACCUGCUGUCUGCUUUAUGUUGCACCUAUGAUUUCCAGAUUGUAAAGUUUGUGGCAAAUGUAUUAACGUUCACAUCCCAUUUACAGAUUAGCAAACUAAGGAUCUGAGAGGUUAUGUGAUUUUCCCAGUCUGGCGGAGGGCAGGGCCCUGUCAGAAGCCGAGACACACCUCGUAACAGCUUGUUAUUUGGGGCUUCCCAUCAGUGAGGCAGGAGUCAUAAUGGGGCCCUGGCUUCUGGGCAAUUCCCAUAAAACAUUGUGCCACCUGAAGAUGGAAGUGUCAGAGGAAGGCGAGAUGUUAUUUCUGAAAGCAUCUACCCUCAGAAAGAGACAGAGGAGUGCAUCGCAGCUGUGUGAACCCGGGGUGGUGGUGGUUCCAGCAGCGGGGCACGUGGUGGACGCAAGACGGCCCCGUUUGAGUUUUGCUGCUAGGUGACAUGUAGAACUUGAACUUCAGAGGGUGCUCCUUGGAGGCCCUGAUGAGAGAGACACAGAAGGGAAGGGAGACUGUUCCCAUGGUCCUGCCUCUGCGGCAGCGAGCCUGCUGCUCUUGCAGCUGGGUGGCUGUUCGGUGCAGGGGGCCGGUGAGGAACACGGUGGGGAGCAGCCUGCGAGGGCGCCGGGCUUUCAGCACUCACUAUACCUGCUGUUUGGUUUGGCCAGGAUGGCCUGGGAGUCCCCAGGGCCGGGCAAAGACUGCCCCCAACAGACAUGGGCGGAGGGAACCGUCUCACCCCUGCCUCUUCUCCCUUCUCUACGCAGUGUCAGUGGGACGGGAGGGUGGUCUGCCCGGGGCUUCAAGCUCCUGUCCAGGAACCGGACCCAUGUCGUACGCCAGUGCAGCCACACGGCCAGCUUCGAGGUGCUCAUGGACGUCUCCAGGUGUGAGAUGGGCAUCUUCUUGUGGCCACUAUGCCCGCUGAGCCUACCCCCAAACCUGCCCCUCCUCAAACUAAAUCUUCCAUUCUAAGCGCUUUGAACGAAGCAAAUCAACCAAUUAAAAAAAUAUAUUCCAGGAUUGGCCAGAGUCUGUGAAGAUUUCCAUAACAAAUCCCCGUUACAAGGGUUUUCAGAGAGCCCUGGUUGUGCAUUAAACCCCGCGAUGGCAAACCCAAAGCUCAGGCUCUGAGGAGCUCUUGGAGUCUGCCCCUCGCUUCAGAGAUGGUCUGUGCGAGGGUGCCGCUCUCCUCCCGCUUUGAUCAUAAGGAAGGUGACAGCUGCUGGGGACGGUAGGCACUCUCCCUCAGGGCCACAAGCUGGGCUGCAGGAUAAAAGACUGGGCGGCUAAUGUUUAACCUCUGGCAUUUUAAGCGGCCUGGGAGUGUGAGCCGGCCAUUGUGGGCCUGCAGAUGAACUGGGGAGUGGCCCGAGUGCUGUCCUCGGCAGGACAGUGCUAUCCAGCCAGGAAGUGGGUGGCAGCCAGCCUGGGAGUGGCCUAUGUGGGACCCUCCUGUCUAGGAGUCAGAGCCAGAGGCCUGGGUGGCCUCCCCUGGCCCCUCCCCAGGGCUGCGCUGUAGCUCAAGGGCCCAGGCCACCAUCCUUCCCGAGGGCUUUCUGAUGUGAAGUGGCCCUGGUUUCUGUCACAGUCUUGGAAGGGUGAGUCAGCCCUGGGGCAGGGCUGGAGGAGGGCUGUGGCUUCCUGUACAAUGUGCGGGGGAAGCUGUCCCACCUGUGCCCCCAUCUCAUGGGCAAAUGGCACUCCCCAGCAGGACCCAGCCUGGAGAGGGGUUCAGUGAUUAGUGGACUUUGUUCAUAGAAGGGCAGGGUUGGGGGUUGUCUCGUGGCCAGGACGCCGGGCAACAUGUGGGCCAAGGAAGCUGAAAUUGAGGCGGAAGGAAGGAGGCUGGAGUGGGAGUCCGAGGCUCCCAUGGCCUGGGUGCCCCAAAGUUAGCGGUCUCUGAACAGCCCUGAACCAGUGGAGGGAGACUGGGGUGCUGCUCCUGGCCCCAGGGAUGUCCAGGGCCCGGGCAUUGAAGGGACCUCAGAAGGGGCAGUUCCAGGCCCAGGGCUGUGAGCACUCGGCCUCCCCAACCCAGCCAGGUCUUGGCUUCCCAGCUCCUAGUUCCACAUGGUAAGCAACGCCUUCCAGAAGUUACCAGAGAACCAGAGCUUGUUGUUCCCCAAAUGCAGAAACUCCCCAGGGACCUGGGUCCUGGGCAAGUGUCCUGGUUUGUAAAAGCACAGGAAACACAGCAAUGUGAACCUACACACUGCUGAACUGUACGCUUCAAAGUGUCCAAGAUGAUAUGUUUUAUGUCAUGUAUAUUUUAGCACAAUUUUCCUUUUUUUGUUUUUUGACACAGUUUUGCUCUUUUCGCCCAGGCUGGAGUGCAGUGGUGAAACCUUGGCUCACUGCAACCUCUGCCUCCUGUAUUCAAGUGAUUCUCUUGUCUUAGCCUUCCAAGCAGCUGGGAUUACAGGCUG